UACAAGGAAGUGCCCCUCUGUUUCAGUUUCGUAAUGCAGAAGACUUGCACAUUGGGACUUUGUUUCUUGCAGAUGAUUGUGCCUGGGUACAGUUUGCACAGGACCUUCUGGGAGUGACACACGUGCAGCUGUGUCUAGCAGAACUGCAGCGCUGAGGGGCACACAUGCAAGUUUCUCAGGGCUGCUGGAGUGGAUGAAAGAAGAUGCUGUUUGUCCAUGGAGAGUGACUGCCCAUGUUCUGUCCCCUCACAGCUCCUGCCUGGCACAAAGCUGGUAUGUGCAUCAUCUUCACCCUGGGCUGAGUGUACUCCGUCCAAAGUCAAAGAAAGUGGAUUUCUCUAAUUUUGGUUGCUCAAAGUAAAAGUCAGGGAUGGGAUGAAAAAUCCCCGCCAGCACUGAGGCACUGUAAACAAGGAAUUCUUUGCAGCAGCUGGAAAGAAGGCAAAAACUUGACUAAAGGAAAACAACAAACAGAUGGUGAAACCAAGAAGAAGCAACUGGUUAGGAGUGGAAAUUCACUGACCAGAGAGGGAGGGGUGUGGCACUGGUGGGGGUCUGAACUCCUCAGGUAAGAUAACUGAGGCUGAGAGCCAGGAUCUGGGACUGUGGCAGAACUGGGCAAGAAAAAAUUUUCUUCCUCAAGAAAAUAUGAGCUUGUAUCUCCAGUGCUCAGGCUAGGCCAAAGUUUUAGACACACAUCUGAAUUUCAGAGGAUGAAUGGUGAACUUUGAGUAUGAAGCCAAGCACUGCUCCAGACAGUAGCAAGUCCUGAAUGGUGACUGGUAAAUCCAAGAAUUCAUCAUCUGGAUGUUUUUCUCUUUUUCUAAUACGUUAAAGACACUACAACUGCAUUAUGAUAAACUGUCAGCGUCACUCUUUUACACAUGCAGUUGAUGUGACUGAAGUAAAGAUGUCCAGUUAUCCCUGGGGAAGAGCUGCUCCCCACAGCUGGGGAGAGGACAGCAUGGACUUCUGAGUGGGAUCAGCAGAGGAAUGCUCGCAGGGCAGCCUCCUGUAAAGUUCAAGGCAAUGCUGUGAACAGUCCUAGGGUUCUUGUUCCAGAUGUAACCCAAAACUUGGUCUCCUAAAGGUCUUUCUUCUGAGCAAAUAGCAGAACAACGGCAGAGUGAAAGAUCUAAGAGAAACCUUCGUUGGUGUUGAACUCCCUGAGUAGGAAAUAUUAUAUAUACCAAUUAAACACAGCCUGGCUGUUUGAACUGCUGUGUUUUAGUAAGCAAGCAGUAUAUCACAGCAACACCUGAGGGUGCUGCUUUGAUCACAGCCUGUCAGCAUUUCCGCUGUGAACUUUGUUUAUUAGAGGUAGGCUGCAAAAAUCUCUCUCUGCUGAAAUUCCAGUGCAAAGCCUGUCCCAGUCAUUGGUUAGGAGAAUCAGGAGGAUAGAAGCUUACGGAAUAAUGUCAUACUCCUAGGUGAGAUUUUCUUUUUAAAUCUGAGGCUUUUCUCCUUUUCUGGAAACUAAGUUUCCAUGCCAUCUACAAAGUGCAUUAAUCCUUACUGCAUACUGAAGAAGAAAAUCAAACAUCUGAAUUAUUAAGAGAGGUUCUUGAAUGGCUGAAAAACUUCUCAUCAAAUUUUUAUCCAUUCAUUUUGUACAAUUUUCAAGACACAAAUGAAGCAUUCCUCAUUCCUGGCUGGACUCUUAGGUGGUUAAACCACUGAAAUAAAAGACGGGGUGGGGGAGAGAAGAGAAAGGAAGUGUCACAUCCUCCGCUGUGAAUAGCUAACACGCUCACAGCUAUGCUGAGCCGAAUGCUCAAAUCCUUCAUCUGCCUGCUUUGGAGCAGGCGCCUGGGAUCGGGUGUCUGUGCUGCGCGCUCUGAUCAGCGGCUCUCACUGCCGGGUCUCUCCCAGGCUCCCCUGCUGAAGCCGCUCUGCUUUGUAUGAGCUGAUUAAAUAUUCAGAGGAUGGGAAUGAAAAGGGCUCUGCGGCUUGGGGUGGGAGUGCUCAUCCAGGAGGCCGGCUCCCAGUCCCCGUGCCAAUGAAUAUUUAAUCGCUUUGUACAAAGUGGAAGAGUUUCAAAGGGAAUCCCUGAAAAUCUGUAGCUUGGCAGCUCGGGUAUUUAACCGAGAAGAGUCUUGGGUCAGAGCCCCUUUUCAGUAUUGUGCGGGAGAAGGGAUUUAGAAGUAAAACCCUGAGAAAUGCUUCGGCCGCCACAGUCUUCAGGACGCAGCUUCAGGGUCGUGGUGUGAGAGCUGGCUUCGGCAGUCAGCUCAGAGGCGGGAGCGCUGUCCUUCCCACCCCAAUUAGCCAUGUGUGCCCUGUGGGCUCCGAGCGCUGCCAUCCUCCCCCAGGCUGCGUGCGAGGAGCGCAAGGCACCCGCACGGCCCGGGCUCUGCCGGGGGGCUGAACUUCUCCAGGGCCAUACCGCUACCCCUGAGUCCCUCGGUGGCUUUUGCGCUGGGGCUGUCGCUCAGCAGUGUCGUGUUUCACCUCCCUGAACACAUUCAGCGAUUUCCUUGGACGGCGGCGAGGUUGUGUGCUUGCUGCAAGUGAGGCUCAGCUGAGAGGACAGGCUCUGAGCAGGUCCACCCUGAUGGGGUUGGAAUUGUACCGCCGGACAGCUUCUACUGCUGUGUUCUUGGUCUGUGGGUGCCCUUGGGAAAGAAGAGAUUUCGAGAGCCCAGCAUCUUUUACUGCUACAAUAUUCAUGAGGAAAAAAAGGAAAGGUAGUCUGUUUUGUGAUCACAGCAACCUUCACUACAUAUUUUUAUAACUGCAUAGGAACAAGUAACUAUGUUAUUAUAAACUGGAGUCAAUUUGUAUCUACACCCGUUUGUAACUAUAGGUACAUGUAUACAUCAAAUGACUUAUACAUGCCAGUGCAUACAUGCAUCUCUGUCAAUAAAAUUCAGUGUUUGCACAGUCUGGAAGUGAUCAUGCCUGGCUAUCAACAAAGCUGUCCUCCCCAGUGCCCUGCCAAACACUGCCAUGGCUUAUCGUAUCACUUCAGCAAUCAAACGACAAGUUCAUUGUGCAUGAAACCCCAGCCUGGAUUCAGAGAAAUAUUUACAGAUGUGCUUAACUUUUCAUGAGUGAAAUUCCACCCCUGUUUAGUAAUACACUUGAUUUCGGCAAGAUCCAGCUGCUCCAGGGCUGACAUCCCUGGCUGUGCUGGUCCUUCUCUGAAGCAGCCUGGGCACAUCAGUAUUACCUGCAGGUUAUUGGGGUUUAUAAGAACUUGAUGAAAAGAGGACCAUUUGUUUAUCAGUUUUUGUGCUGUGGCAGAGAGAAGCAGCAAGGCCUGAAUAAAAGACACCAGAGGGUCUCCCUCCAUCCUGCUGCUGGAGCCCACACUGCCCUGCCCUUCCUGCAGCACUAACCCUUCGGGCUGGGCUCCCCGGGAAACUGAGGCAGGCGCUGCCCAGAGCUGCGGGUGGACUCCUGGGCUUCCCAGGCUGCACAUGCUGAAGGGCCCGGCCCCUCUGCCCUCUCGCAGGGCUGCUGCUCCCCCCCGAAACGUGACCUGGGGAAGCAUCCUCAUCUGCCUUCAUCCCUCCUCUGUCGGGUCACGCUCCCAGGAUGAGAAACCGCCCCGGCUUUGGAGUGAAACCGGAGCCCGCCCGCCCGGCGAAAGUGACCAGAUGUCGCGGUUUCACCGGCAGCAGUGGCCCCCGAGGGGAAUCGCCCGGUCGCCAAAACGCCCCGCGGGGCUCUGCCAGCCCCCCCGCGCAGAUGGCCAACCUGGAAAUCCCACCCAGCGCUGCCGCGUGGGAGAUGCCGAUCGGCCAAAUCUGCUGCUGUCAGCAAAAGACAAAACCUCUCCCGAGCCGUGCGGCUGGCGAUAAAAGGGAGCGGGCACAGGAGCAGCCCCGCGGAGGCCCCUCGGGAACAAUGGCAACCUCUUCGGGAGCCGGCGAGGCAAAGCUGGACAAAGCUGCCCCCAAACUCCAGCUGCUGCCUCAACACAAAACAGGGGGCUGCAAAUUUGGUUUCUUUCAUCUAAAUCCUCUUAGGCGGUGCGAACGCGGAGAGCAGGCGAGCACCCUCGCGUGUCACGCUCCCUCCCUCUGCCAUCAGUGCACGCAGCCUCGAGUGCCGGCCAAAAUUUAUUGUGGGUUUAUUUGACUUUGUAGGAACGGGGCGCUUUCCGUGGUGGGAGAGAGCAGGGAAACAGGCAGCGAAGGGGCAUGGAGAGUAUUGACCAGAGAAUUUGUGCCUCCCUUGCGCUGUUUUGCCUGGAAAAGGCUGAACUUUUCAUGUUCUGAAAAGCCAGAUGAACAGCACAAGUCAUUAGUCACCCAGGUAUUUACAGUGUUUUUCCUAUUUCCUUUCUCCCAUGGCCUCUGUGGUCAGCAGUAUAAAAUUCCUAGGCACUCCCACCUAAACACAAGUUUCCUGUUUAUGCUCUCAGUGGCUUUUAUGUUUAGCUGUUAAAACCCGUUGUCUAAAGUACCAUAAAACAAUAUGAACAGAGACUGCAGGUGAGCAAGCAGGGGGGAAAAAAGCAAAGCCGUGAGCAGGCAGCGCUGAGGCUGGUCUGGCCAGGGGAGCGGGGCCGGGGAACAAAGGAACAAAGCCCCGCGGUAGCUCCGCUGCUGCUGCCGCCGCUGCUGCUGCCCGAGCGCCGCCGGGCGCGCCCGCGCUGCCUCCGCGCCGCCCGAGAGCUGCGCUGGCUGCGCUUCCUCACCUCAAAUCAUAUGAAAACACCUGACUUGAAACUCAGGUGGGUCAAUGGGUAGUAAAAGUCAUUCAAGGUCUGCGUUAUUGAAUAACGUAGUGUUGUUUAAUUUGAGUUAUGACACUUCUUUUGAGUAUUUUCAUUACGGUAGCAUUGCACUCCCGCUGCUCCUGUUUGGUCUGGCAGCAUUUAUUUCAUGUAAGUUCCUCCUUUAAUUUAAGUAACGUCUGCUUCAUCCUGAAACCUAGGAGAAAAGUCGUCAGCAAGAGCAACGCUGAGAUUCUCUGGAGCUGCAGGAAGGGAGAAGCUCUAGCUGACCAUCAAACCCACCCCUGGAGCCACUGCGAAUUCCUGCCCUGCCACAAGCUUUUCUACCCCUUGGUCAGACUGCACAAACAUUUUAGUUAUGCUGACAUCAAGAACAUCCAAUUUAAGACACUGUGUUGUGACCACAUGAGGUCAUAAUUUCUGAAGACACAAAAUAUGGUAGCAGUCACACCAUAGGUUUAGGUAGCUCUUCCCAGAGCCUUUAGGUAACUUUAUAUCCAUAGCAAUAUCACAAGGUAAUAUUAUACAUUAAUCAACUCAUUUUUAUCAGCCUCUCAAAUAUGCCAACUGUUCAAAAUAACAUUAUCAUUGGCUUUUAUUACAAUUGAAAUACAAAUGAAUAAUUAUAAAAAUACAAAAUAGACCUUAACCCACCAUAAAAUUUGUUGUUAAAACUAAUAUGAUUUCUGUGAAAAACUUUUAUACACAACAGUAUGAUUUAAGGGCCUUUGUCAAUAUUGUCUUUGAUUUUUUUUUUUGUUGAUUUGGUUUACGCAGACACUUACAGCUAUUUAAACAUAGUUUUGUGUAUUUAAUUAUAUCAUACAUGAUGUAAUUUUUUACUACAGACACCCUUGACAUUUAAUGUAUUUCAUCCAGGAAUUAGCAAAGAAUAAUUAAGCUUUUACUACUAUUACUGCUUUUCAUGAUCCUGUGUCUUCUAGAGCAAGAUAGAGCAGGACUAGCAAAGUUUAUGUUUCAGAUACUAAGAUAUAUUUGUUUUCAGGUUAUACAUCAGUAAUUUCCUGGUUUCUGUAUACAAAGGAAGGACUGGGAUGGAGCAACAUGUUACAGAAUCUAUGUGUUCCCUUACAGAGAUUAGCAAGAGUGAAUAAUAGAUCCACUGUUUUCAAAAUCACAACAUACACGGGGAGAUGGUUUUAUGUGCAUAUAUAAUACAUAUAAAUACUUGUGAUCUAUAUAUUGCAUAGGGUUUUGGUUUUUCACUUAGUGAGACUAAAAAGGGUCUAACAUGUGUACAAAGGUUUCAUAUGCAGUAUUUGUAGCAUCAUUUCAACAGCUCUGUUUGCACUGACAACUCUCUCAUGAGCAAUGUGUCACUUCACAAGUUUUUUUAAACACUCUUUUUGAAUACAGGUGGUCUUAUUUCCAGAUAUCAUUACAUUUUCUCUGUAUGUUGCACAGUGGGGCAGUGGCCACUGUUUCUUUGUCUAUGUUGAAGUUUGAUUUUUUUAUUAUUUUUAGUCUAAUUUUCAGGCUCUUCAGCAGCCACACCAUGGGAACAGUGUGCUACCUGGAGCAUGGCACAGACUGAACUUGUGUUUGACCACAGUGGGCUCCCAGAGGUGUUUUAAGUGUGUGUUUCACCUGAAAGACGUGGGGUUCAUCUCUUCCAGAUCCACUCCACAAACAGAAAGAAAGCACAGGAAGUAGGGACUGCUGGGAGAUUGGCUUUGGAAGUUGGCUCCUGGCCCAAAAUAAGAUGCUGGUGUAAAUGCACCAGUGUUCAGGUUUGGAUCUUACUGUCAUGGUUCCUUUAUAUCUUCUUCAUUUCAGUCUGCAGACUUCAGAGCAGUGUGUUCCCAAAUCUUGUCUUCUGACAACCCCUUUUCUGCCCUGUUCAAAUGAGCCCCUUCCCUGCCUUCUUCCCUGAAGAAGGCAUGCCCUUCUCCUGGUCCCCAGCUGAUAUCAAUCUCUCCCACUGCAGAGAGGGAAAAAUUUGCAUAUUUAAAAUAUUUGAAAGCCCCUCCCUGGCCUGGCUGUCGAUGGAAAAUUAACUUAGUUGCAUACCAAGCUAAUUUGUAGAUGUGACAAAGCAUUACAAUAGGAGACACGUGGGGAAAAAAAAAACAAAAAGAGAUAGAAAAUCUUUGAAGAAGUCAACACAAAGGAAGUACUUUCAUGUAGUCUUGAUUCUGCAAAUCACUUUGGUUUCAUGCUCAACAUCCCAGAGAGGCAUCAGCACUUGGAGUGUGUGUAGGCAGAAGGUAGACAGGGAGAUGACUCACUGGUGCAGGAACACAAGAGGGGAAGCCAGAGCAUCGUCUGUGGGAACUUCUGAAGGGAAAAGAAAGUGUCUCUGCUGACAGAAGGUUACAAAUCUUCAUGCUUGCUGCAACGUGUGCAUCCGACCACCAGCAUCAUUCUAAGAGCAGCCGAGGAAGCAUGAAGAGAAAAAGCUGUCUUAAGAAAAGCAAUCUGAAACCUGUAUUUAAUUAUACAAGCAAUAAAGCUUUUACCAGUGCUGAGGCAAAACCAGA